rnacentral:rRNA from 1 species
AAAGAUGAAAAGCACUUUGGAAAGAGAGUUAAACAGUACGUGAAAUUGUUGAAAGGGAAGCGCUUGCACCCAGACUUGGGCGUCGUCGAUCAUCCGAGGUUCUCCUCGGUGCACUCGGCGAGGCACAGGCCAGCAUCGGUUUGGAUGGUUGGAGAAAGGCUCUAGGAACGUAGCUCUCUUCGGGGAGUGUUAUAGCCUAGGGCGUAAUGCAGCCCAUCCGGACCGAGGACCGCGCCUUCGGGCUAGGAUGCUGGCGUAAUGGUUGCAAGCGACCCGUCUUGAAACACGGACCAAGGAGUCUAACAUCUAUGCGAGUGUUUGGGCGUUAAACCCAUACGCGGAAUGAAAGUGAACGUAGGUGAGAACCCGUCUGGGUGCAUCAUCGACCGAUCCUGA